AUUGAACGCUGGCGGCAGGCCUAACACAUGCAAGUCGAGCGGAUGAAGGGAGCUUGCUCCUGGAUUCAGCGGCGGACGGGUGAGUAAUGCCUAGGAAUCUGCCUGGUAGUGGGGGAUAACGUCCGGAAACGGGCGCUAAUACCGCAUACGUCCUGAGGGAGAAAGUGGGGGAUCUUCGGACCUCACGCUAUCAGAUGAGCCUAGGUCGGAUUAGCUAGUUGGUGGGGUAAAGGCCUACCAAGGCGACGAUCCGUAACUGGUCUGAGAGGAUGAUCAGUCAAACUGGAACUGAGACACGGUACAGACUCCUACGGGAGGCAGCAGUGGGGAAUAUUGGACAAUGGGCGAAAGCCUGAUCCAGCCAUGCCGCGUGUGUGAAGAAGGUCUUCGGAUUGUAAAGCACUUUAAGUUGGGAGGAAGGGCAGUAAGUUAAUACCUUGCUGUUUUGACGUUACCAACAGAAUAAGCACCGGCUAACUUCGUG
rnacentral:rRNA from 1 species